CGCGUAGGCGGAGUGGAAAGUGUCUUGUGAAAUCCCACGGCUUAACCGUGGAAUUGCUCGGCAAACUUCCACUCUUGAGGCAAGUAGGGGUACAUGGAACUCUUGGUGGAGCGGUGGAAUGCGUAGAUAUCAAGAGGAACGCCAAUGGUGAAGACAGUGUACUGGGCUUGUCCUGACGCUGAGACACGAAAGCGUGGGGAGCGAACAGGAUUAGAUACCCUGGUAGUCC
rnacentral:rRNA from 1 species